CACGGGGGGAGCAAGCGUUGUUCGGAAUCACUGGGCGUAAAGGGCGUGUAGGCGGUUCGGUAAGUGGAAUGUGAAAUGCUCCGGCUCACCCGGAGUACUGCAUCCCAAACUGCCGAGCUUGAGUAUGGGAGAGGAUGAGGGAAUUCCUGGUGUAGCGGUGAAAUGCGUAGAUAUCAGGAGGAACACCGGUGGCGAAGGCGGGUCUCUGGGCCGAUACUGACGCUGAGGAGCGAAAGCGUGGGGAGCGAACAGG
rnacentral:rRNA from 1 species